rnacentral:lncRNA from 1 species
GAUUGGUUACUGAACUAAAAACUGCUUGAGUAGACAUUGGUAUCUCUUGUCGGACUAACCCCUCCAGGAAAACUUUCAAUAUCAACCUAGGAAGUCCUGAGAUACAAACUCAGAUUGGAGACAAAGGAGACACAUGAUGUUUAACGAUUUGCACAAGGAAGACAUAGCUCAUUCAUCAUAAAGAGAUGAUCCAUGGAACAAGACAAAGAGUGCCACAAACACGGUGCACAACCGCUAAGAAAGGAAAGAUUCCACAAGGUGAUACUGUACCAUCACUCUUCAAGUAAGGUAACAUCUUAAGGUACUUGACUAUCACUAUUAUAAGCUUCUCCUUGGUUCUGGCGUUCACAUGAAUAAAGAGGCAAACAUAAAUUAACCAACCCAAUUAAUUCAACAUGUUUAGUUCUUUAAUCUUUGUUCUUAGUACUACCUUCGUGAUCCCACAUUCCUAAUCAUAUAAGCUAAAAUGUUGCACAUUCAAUCUUUGGAAGGUAUAAAAAAACAUAAAUAUAGAUAGAUUAUCUUUCCAUUAGGUCGAGCAAUCUGAUCUAACAAAUGUUUUAAAUACUACUCAUGAUCUUAUUAUCCAUCAACUUUGUCUUGCUCACUAUGCUUAAGGUUAGAGAAGAACAAAUACACUUUUGGUUCUGUUGGUGUUUUUCACCAACAGGGCCCAUGCACUUGAUCUCUGCCUUGUCUCUAUGAGCAGGUACACUUCGAGCAAAACCUGAAGGAGUUUUACAACUCCUAGAUUCCACCAAGUGAAGGACUUGGAUCUAUGAGCACAAACACAGUGAGGAGGAUGCUGCCAAUGCUGCACCUCGAACUGCUGGACAAACAAAGAACAUUGGUGACACCGUAUCAAGAGGUGCAGAUGUCAAGGCCUACACCUAAUCAGAUGAUGCACCUAAAGGAUGAACACGGUGAGUAGUCUUAUCCAGAAGACUUAAAACAUUGGAUCCUUGCUGGAAGGUAAAAUCGGUAUUUAUCCAUAUUUAUCUUUUCUGCAUUCCUUUUCCUUUUUUAUUCCAUCACUUGCAAUAGCAUAUUUACUUUUCCACAUUAGCAUUAGAAAAGAAAACAAAAAUAUUUGUUCAUUGCACUGCAUCAUAAAAUCUAAAGCACCAUGUGAGUAGACUUGUGGUUUAAAACCCAUAGGUAUAUUGACUGUGGUGGCAUAAAAUAAAUAUGUUUUCAUCUUACAGAUAUAAAAAUAGAAAGUGCAUGAUCCUGCUAAAUAAAUAAAAUUUAUUCGGAGGAAUCUCAAUAUGAUAAAGGCUAAGAGAUUUUAUGCUAACACUUAACUAGUUUCACAAAGCUUUGUUGUCUAUUUGAGCUCCACAGAAUUCAAGGAUCAAAGAAGACUAGCCGGCAGAGGACAUAGUAAUCGCUGUCACGGUGCUGCCGACAUUCAAAUACACCUCCGUCACCUUCUAGCUAUAUCAGAAGAAAUUACGUCAAAAUCCAGCUUGGGGAGAGCACCCCCAUUUAUCCAGCAAAGUGUUUCUACUCGCGUUUAUACUUUACUCAAAUAAUAAAAAGAUGCAUAAUCAUGAAAACCCAAAUAAAAAUUUUGUGCUUAUAUAUAUAUUUGCAUAGUUUGCUAAAUAAAUAAAUAAAGUGUCUAGGCCAAACUGAACUUAAAUGAUAAACUCUUACAUGGAUAUGAUAAUAGUUGCUCUGUCAUGUACCUAGUUUUCAAGUUUGAACUCUCUCUCAAGUUUAGGUAUAAUUGUUAUAAUUUAAACGAAAGAGUACUUGAUCUAAAGUCUAAGUCGUUAACGGAUAUGAUAUGGGAAGGUUGAGCAGUUGUUUAUUUGUUCCUAAAAAUGCUAGAAUUCUGGAGAACUUUAUCUUUGAAAAUCUUCAAAAUAUUGCAUGAUGAGUUCCUGUAUGAUGAGAGUUUAAAAUCCUACCACAGCCAUAUAUACAUGCUUAUUAGACUAUGAACCAUAUAUUUACUUUUUACUGCUUAUAAGCAUUGAGUGUGGUCAAGCUGUGUAGACCCUUAGGAGCUUGUCAUGCGGUUAAAAUCAAGAUUCACUUGCACGUUCACUCACACAUGCUGCUUCUACUCCAAAAGUACGCAUCCACAUAUAUCCACUCAUUUCCAUCUCCAGAGCCACCCAAAAGUAUUCUACUCCUAAUCCGGGAGAGAAUAGCCAAAAACAUUCUCCUAUUCCUGUUUUUCCCUAUGAAAUAAAUGCUCGAGUUAUCUUGGUUAGUACCACUUGCUAUAUUAUUUUAGGAGAUGAGUGCUCUAAAAAAAGAAAAAAAAAGAAAGAGAAAGGAUACGAGGAAAUAAAAAGGGGCAAGUGCUCGGAACCUCGAAAGAAAAGAAAAAGUGAGACGAGAGGUAAAAAUGGACAAGUGUCCGACAGUAGAAUUAGGGGUAUAAGAUACCCACCUGAGAGGAAAGAAAAAGAAAAUGUAGAGCAUCUCAUUCUCCUCAAAAAGUUUCAAAAGAGCAAGAAAGGUAUGUAUCCCCUAAAAAGAGCAAAAAGUACAAUUAGACUUUCACCAUUGUUAUCACCAUCAUCACCAUACACCGUUCACUCGCCACACAUGCAUAUCUUGAUUUGACUUAUUGACUUGUUCUUCUGGAUCCAUGGCCUGACUAUGCAAUAAAUGUCUUCUAAGUAUGUAUUAUCAGUCUCCCACCUAUGAGCUCUAGAUAUCAAAACCUUAUUAGAGUAGUCUGAGAGAGAAGGCAAUAUCACUAUGCCUCAUACCAAAAAUAACACAUACUUUGAGAGAAGGCAUACACCAUUACUGCCUUGGAAAGGAUCCAUAAAUACCACAAAAGAGAGAUUUGAGAGAGUCAUACAAGGAAUCUGUGAGUUUUAUUUGAAAAUCUGCAAAAACUCUAGAGCUAUAGUUCAUCAAAGAACAAGAGACAUGGCGCUUGACUUGACCGUUCUAUGUUUUAACUGCUCAAGACACAAGUGACGGUUGCAAGCCCCAUGGUGAAAGGUAAAAUGAGUAAGUUUUAAAUCUUAACAGUUUACUCUAACUCAGAGAUGAGUUCUUGCUUGAACGCAUGUGUACUUUUAAGGCAUGAAACCACUGUAGAAACUCUUGAGUCCAUCCUUGCUCUGCGACGAGCAAGAGGUAAGCUUGGGGAAGUUGUUGACGGUCCUUAAGUACCAAAUAUAAUCAUCAAAUAAAUAAAGAAAAGGUCCAAAUGCAACCAACACCUAGACUUUGGGUUUUAUCUGACAGAAUUCCAUGAGUUUUGGUGUUUGUCUAUUUUUGCAGGGGGUUAUCAGGAAAUAUGGAGGAAAGGCCCACACGUCGGGUUUAGAAAGAUAUAUUAACGUGUCGUGCAAUUUUAUAUCAUCUAGAAGACUCUAGAAGCCACGGGAACGAAUGGGAGGCCGAGCGGGCCCGGGGGUAGAGCGCCUGCCCUACUAUAGAGAUCAAUCAGGUCCCGUCUCGCGGAUUAUGCUCCACCGACCUACAGGAUUAAGGAAAACUGUGCGAUUAAUGUCGGUUUGAUCCGACGUCCCACGUUACUUGAGGGGACUAUAUAAGCUGCCCCCCUGGCCCCUGGAGGAGGGCCAUCCCAUUAUUGAUUAGCAUAUUUUCUAGAGAGGAUUCAGAGAGAGAGAUCUCUCUAGGGAUCCAACCUCAUAGGGCUUAGCAUCCAAUGUGAGAGUAGAAUUAGUUCUACUAGAUUGAGAGAGAUAGAGUGGAGG